rnacentral:piRNA from 1 species
GCUUCUGAAAGUUAUAGGCCGGCCCUCUA